rnacentral:rRNA from 1 species
CUACGUGCCAGCAGCCGCGGUAAUACGGAAGGUCCAGGCGUUAUCCGGAUUUAUUGGGUUUAAAGGGAGCGUAGGCGGAUUGUUAAGUCAGCGGUUAAAGGGUGUGGCUCAACCAUGCAUUGCCGUUGAAACUGGCGAUCUUGAGUGCAGACAGGGAUGCCGGAAUUCGUGGUGUAGCGGUGAAAUGCUUAGAUAUCACGAAGAACUCCGAUCGCGAAGGCAGGUGUCCGGGCUGCAACUGACGCUGAGGCUCGAAAGUGUGGGUAUCAAACAGGAUUAGAUACCCUGGUAGUCCACACAGUAAACGAUGUAUACUCGCGGUUUGCGAUAGACAGUAAGCCGCCAAGCGAAAGCAUUAAGUAUACCACCUGGGGAGUACGCCGGCAACGGUGAUACUCAAAGGAAUUGACGGGGGCCCGCACAAGCGGAGGAACAUGUGGUUUAAUUCGAUGAUACGCGAGGAACCUUACCCGGGCUUGAACUAACGGUGACGAAUCUAGAGAUAG